rnacentral:snoRNA from 1 species
UCAUGAUGAUUUCCUUUAGAUGACGAGUCUUAUACGAGUUUUCGAUGCAGACAACAUCUUUUUUUUAUACCAUUCAUGCAAAACUGACA